CCUACGGGGGGUAGCAGUGGGGAAUAUUGCGCAAUGGGUGAAAGCCUGACGCAGCGACGCCGCGUGAGGGAUGAAGGUCUUCGGAUCGUAAACCUCUGUCAGCAGGGAAGAACGGUCACUGUGCUAAUCAGCAGUGAAUUGACGGUACCUGCAAAGGAAGCACCGGCUAACUCCGUGCCAGCAGCCGCGGUAAUACGGAGGGUGCGAGCGUUAAUCGGAAUUACUGGGCGUAAAGCGCUCGUAGGCGGUAUGUCAAGUCAAGGGUGAAAUCCCCGCGCUCAACGUGGGAACUGCCUUUGAAACUGGCAAACUGGAGUGUGUGAGAGGAUAGUGGAAUUCCAGGUGUAGGAGUGAAAGCCGUAGAUAUCUGGAGGAACAUCAGUGGCGAAGGCGACUAUCUGGCACAUAACUGACGCUGAGGAGCGAAAGCGUGGGUAGCAAACAGGAUUAGAUACCCGAGUAGUC
rnacentral:rRNA from 1 species